UAACACGUAGGAAACCUAACCUCAAAGAACGAGGAUAACUACUGGAAACGGUAGCUAAAACUGGAUAGGAUAUACGAAGGCAUCUUUGUAUAUUUAAAAGUCCUUCUGGGAAUGCUAUGAGAUGGUCCUGCGGCGCAUUAGCUAGUUGGUGAGGUAAAGGCCCACCAAGGCGACGAUGCGUAGCUGUGCUGAGAGGCAAAACAGCCACACUGGGACUGAGACACGGCCCAG
rnacentral:rRNA from 1 species